rnacentral:rRNA from 1 species
GUACCCACAAUUACUUGGAUAACUGUGGUAAUUCUAGAGCUAAUACAUGCAAACAGAGCUCCGACCGGAGACGGGAGGAGUGCUUUUAUUAGAUCAAAACCAAUCGGUGGCGAGUUCGCUCGUCAUCGUACAACUUGGUGACUCUGAAUAACUUUACGCUGAUCGCACGGUCUCGCACCGGCGACGCAUCUUUCAAAUGUCUGCCUUAUCAACUGUCGAUGGUAGGUUCUGCGCCUACCAUGGUUGUAACGGGUAACGGGGAAUCAGGGUUCGAUUCCGGAGAGGGAGCYUGAGAAACGGCUACCACAUCCAAGGAAGGCAGCAGGCGCGCAAAUUACCCACUCCCGGCACGGGGAGGUAGUGACGAAAAAUAACGAUACGGG